AUCAAAGCCCAAAAUUGGCCCAAAAGUACUACAAUACUAACUCAAACAAAAACAACAAAAUAAACAAAAAAAGGAAAGAAGAACAAAACUAAAAGAAAGUGGGAAAGUCCAGCCACCAUUCUUCAGAACUUCAUCUAGCAGAACAACCAUGGAGGACAACGGAAGACGAGGAGUCGAUUCCCUUCAGGCUACUAGAGCUGACAACGUAGGUGCCAGUGAGUCUUGAUUGUUUUACAAGGGCAUUCAAACCUCUCACAAAUGCCAUAAAUCAAUCAAAUAAAAACUUCUUCAACUCCUAGCACUACCAGUCCUAUCUUGCACAACCAUGGUUGAGCUCAGCUUGGAGCUAAUACCACUGUCUAAGCCAGAAGAAUCCAUAGAUCCAUUUAUUAACUAAUCGAGUUUCUAUCAAGGUUGUCGUUCCAUUGGGGUCUUUAUAAGCAACAUCUUCCAGUAUUAGGAUAUCUGGACUUGUACCUUCUUGCAGACCCUAGAAAUCUCUUGUGCAUGAGGUAUCAAUCUACAAAGUGUAUCUGCAGGCAGUUCUCCAUCCUCUAGCUCAUCCACAUGUAGGGCAUCAAAAAGGUAUAUUCGAUUGUUCUCCUUCUUUUAUCCUUCAAUUACUGCCUCAUCCUCCUUUCGUUUGAGCGCCAGGAUGCAAGCUCCUGCAUUCCUCUUCCACGUGUCCUUGAAGCUUGCAGACGCAGGUAAUCAUGAUCAGUAUCUAGCACCUUGUUGAUCCAGUUUGAGCACUCAGAGUCGUGUGGUGAGCCUCAUUGCUUACGAAGGGUCUCUUUUAUUGCUUUGGUUUUAUUAUUAGUUCAUGAGGAUGUCGUGGGCCUGUCCCGACAUCCAUCUCAGUUGUUUAGAGACUUCAUAGACAGACAGUCAGUUAGUUAAAUUCAUUUGUCACUACUUUAUUAUUGUCUUAUGUUUUUGAGACUUGA